AUUGAACGCUGGCGGCAGGCCUAACACAUGCAAGUCGAGCGGAUGAAGGGAGCUUGCUCCUGGAUUCAGCGGCGGACGGGUGAGUAAUGCCUAGGAAUCUGCCUGGUAGUGGGGGAUAACGUCCGGAAACGGGCGCUAAUACCGCAUACGUCCUGAGGGAGAAAGUGGGGGAUCUUCGGACCUCACGCUAUCAGAUGAGCCUAGGUCGGAUUAGCUAGUUGGUGGGGUAAAGGCCUACCAAGGCGACGAUCCGUAACUGGUCUGAGAGGAUGAUCAGUCACACUGGAACUGAGACACGGUCCAGACUCCUACGGGAGGCAGCAGUGGGGAAUAUUGGACAAAGGGCGAAAGCCUGAUCCAGCCAUGCCGCGUGUGUGAAGAAGGUCUUCGGAUUGUAAAGCACUUUAAGUUGGAAGGAAGGGCAGUAAGUUAAUACCUUGCUGUUUUGACGUUACCAACAGAAUAAGCACCGGCUAACUUCGUG
rnacentral:rRNA from 1 species